rnacentral:rRNA from 1 species
GAUGAACGCUGGCGGCGUGCCUAAUACAUGCAAGUCGAGCGAACGGACGAGAAGCUUGCUUCUCUGAUGUUAGCGGCGGACGGGUGAGUAACACGUGGAUAACCUACCUAUAAGACUGGGAUAACUUCGGGAAACCGGAGCUAAUACCGGAUGAUAUUUUGAACCGCAUGGUUCAAAAGUGAAAGACGGUCUUGCUGUCACUUAUAGAUGGAUCCGCGCUGCAUUAGCUAGUUGGUAAGGUAACGGCUUACCAAGGCAACGAUGCAUAGCCGACCUGAGAGGGUGAUCGACCACACUGGAACUGAGACACGGUCCAGACUCCGACGGGAGGCAGCAGUAGGGAAGCUUCCGCAAUGGGCGAAAGCCUGACGGAGCAACGCCGCGUGAGUGAUGAAGGUCUUCGGAUCGUAAAACUCUGUUAUUAGGGAAGAACAUAUGUGUAAGUAACUGUGCACAUCUUGACGGUACCUAAUCAGAAAGCCACGGCUAACUACGUG